UUUAAAGAGAGUUUGAUCCUGGCUCAGGACGAACGCUGGCGGCGUGCCUAAUACAUGCAAGUCGAACGAACGGAGGAAGAGCUUGCUCUUCCAAAGUUAGUGGCGGACGGGUGAGUAACACGUGGGCAACCUGCCUGUAAGUUGGGGAUAACUCCGGGAAACCGGGGCUAAUACCGAAUGAUAAGGUGUGGCGCAUGCCACGCUUUUGAAAGAUGGUUUCGGCUAUCGCUUACAGAUGGGCCCGCGGUGCAUUAGCUAGUUGGUAGGGUAAUGGCCUACCAAGGCAACGA
rnacentral:rRNA from 1 species